GAUGAACGCUGGCGGCGUGCCUAAUACAUGCAAGUCGAGCGAACGGACGAGAAGCUUGCUUCUCUGAUGUUAGCGGCGGACGGGUGAGUAACACGUGGAUAACCUACCUAUAAGACUGGGAUAACUUCGGGAAACCGGAGCUAAUACCGGAUAAUAUUUUGAACCGCAUGGUUCAAAAGUGAAAGACGAUCUUGCUGUCACUUAUAGAUGGAUCCGCGCUGCAUUAGCUAGUUGGUAAGGUAACGGCUUACCAAGGCAACGAUGCAUAGCCGACCUGAGAGGGUGAUCGGCCACACUGGGACUGAGACACGGUCCAGACUCCUACGGGAGGCAGCAGUAGGGAAUCUUCCGCAAUGGGCGAAAGCCUGACGGAGCAACGCCGCGUGAGUGAUGAAGGUCUUCGGAUCGUAAAACCCUGUUAUUAGGGAAGAAAAUAUGUGUAAGUAACUGUGCACAUCUUGACGGUACCUAAUCAGAAAGCCACGGCUAACUACGUG
rnacentral:rRNA from 1 species